CAAGUACGGGGGCCCGCAAGGGCAACCGGCGAACAGGUGCGUAACACGUGACCAACCUGCCCUCGUGUGGGGGAUAGCCAUGCUAACGCGUGGGUAAUACCGCAUACGUUUCUUUGGGGGAGUCCCCGAGGAAGGAAAGCCCGUGGCAACACGGGCGCACGGGGAGGGGGUCGCGGCCUAUCAGCUGGUUGGCGGGGUAAUGGCCCACCAAGGCGACGACGGGUAGCUGGUCUGAGAGGAUGGCCAGCCACAUUGGGACUGAGAGACGGCCCAGACUCCUACGGGAGGCAGCAGUGGGGAAUCUUGCGCAAUGGCCGAAAGGCUGACGCAGCGACGCCGCGUGUGGGAGGACGCCUUUCGGGGUGUAAACCACUGUUGCCCGGGACGAACAGCCCUUUUCGAGGGGUCUGACGGUACCGGGUGAGGAAGCACCGGCUAACUCCGUGCCAGCAGCCGCGGUAAUACGGAGGGUGCGAGCGUUGUCCGGAAUCAUUGGGCGUAAAGGGCGCGUAGGUGGCACGAUCAGCGUGCGGUGAAAGCUCGGGGCUCAACCCCGAGUCGGCCGUGCGAACUAUCGAGCUGGAGCACUGUAGAGGCAGGCGGAAUUCCGGGUGUAGCGGUGGAAUGCGUAGAGAUCCGGAAGAACACCGGUGGCGAAGGCGGCCUGCUGGGCAGUUGCUGACACUGAGGCGCGACAGCGUGGGGAGCAAACAGGAUUAGAUACCCUGGUAGUCCACGCCGUAAACGAUGGGCACUAGGCGCUUGGGGGAGCGACCCCCCGAGGGCCGGCGCUAACGCAUUAAGUGCCCCGCCUGGGGAGUACGGCCGCAAGGCUGAAACUCAAAGGAAUUGACGGGGGGCCCCCACAAGCGGUUGGACCAUGUUGUUUUAAUUUC
rnacentral:rRNA from 1 species